rnacentral:rRNA from 1 species
UACGAAGGGGGCGAGCGUUGUUCGGAUUUACUGGGCGUAAAGGGCGCGCAGGCGGCUAUCCAAGUCAGGCGUGAAAGCCCCGGGCUUAACCUGGGAGGUGCGUCUGGGACUGGGUGGCUAGAGUUCGGGAGAGGAGAGUGGAAUUCCCAGUGUAGAGGUGAAAUUCGUAGAUAUUGGGAAGAACACCGGUGGCGAAGGCGGCUCUCUGGACCAAGACUGACGCUGAGGCGCGAAAGCGUGGGGAGCAAACAGG